GUCGGGGUAGCCAAGUGGCUAAGGCGCGGGUCUGCUAAACCCGUGGCGCUUCGCGCCGCGAGGGUUCAAAUCCCUCCCCCGACG
rnacentral:tRNA from 2 species